rnacentral:rRNA from 1 species
UGCGUAGGUGGCCACGUAAGUCUGAUGUGAAAUCUCGAAGCUUAACUUCGAAACUGCAUUGGAUACUACAUGGCUGGAGGGUUGGAGGGGGGACUGGAAUUCUCGGUGUAGCAGUGAAAUGCGUAGAUAUCGAGAGGAACACCAGUGGCGAAGGCGAGUCCCUGGACAACUCCUGACACUGAGGCACGAAAGCUGGGGAGCAAACA